rnacentral:rRNA from 1 species
AUUGAACGCUGGCGGCAGGCCUAACACAUGCAAGUCGAACGAGUGGCGGACGGGUGAGUAAUGUCUGGGAAACUGCCUGAUGGCGGGGGCUAACUACUGGAAACGGUAGCUAAUACCGCAUACCAUCGGAUGUGCCCAGAUGGGAUUAGCUAGUAGGUGGGGUAACGGCUAACCUAGGCGACGAUCCCUAGCUGGUCUGAGAGGAUGACCAGCCACACUGGAACGGAGACACGGUCCAGACUCCUACGGGAGGCAGCAGUGGGGAAUAGUGCACAAUGGGCGCAAGCCUGAUGCAGCCAUGCCGCGGGGAUGAAGAAGGCCUUCGGGUUGUAAAGUACUUUCAGCGGGGAGGCGUUACACGCAGAAGAAGCACCGGCUAACUCCGUGCCAGCAGCCGCGGUAAUAC